UGCAGUCGACGGUGAACACGGAGCUUGCUCUGUGGGAUCAGUGGCGAACGGGUGAGUAACACGUGAGCAACCUGCCCCUGACUCUGGGAUAAGCGCUGGAAACGGCGUCUAAUACUGGAUACGAGUAGCGACCGCAUGGUCAGUUACUGGAAAGAUUUAUUGGUUGGGGAUGGGCUCGCGGCCUAUCAGCUUGUUGGUGAGGUAAUGGCUCACCAAGGCGUCGACGGGUAGCCGGCCUGAGAGGGUGACCGGCCACACUGGGACUGAGACACGGCCCAGACUCCUACGGGAGGCAGCAGUGGGGAAUAUUGCACAAUGGGCGCAAGCCUGAUGCAGCAACGCCGCGUGAGGGAUGACGGCCUUCGGGUUGUAAACCUCUUUUAGCAGGGAAGAAGCGAAAGUGACGGUACCUGCAGAAAAAGCGCCGGCUAACUACGUGCCAGCAGCCGCGGUAAUACGUAGGGCGCAAGCGUUAUCCGGAAUUAUUGGGCGUAAAGAGCUCGUAGGCGGUUUGUCGCGUCUGCUGUGAAAUCCGGAGGCUCAACCUCCGGCCUGCAGUGGGUACGGGCAGACUAGAGUGCGGUAGGGGAGAUUGGAAUUCCUGGUGUAGCGGUGGAAUGCGCAGAUAUCAGGAGGAACACCGAUGGCGAAGGCAGAUCUCUGGGCCGUAACUGACGCUGAGGAGCGAAAGGGUGGGGAGCAAACAGGCUUAGAUACCCUGGUAGUCCACCCCGUAAACGUUGGGAACUAGUUGUGGGGUCCAUUCCACGGAUUCCGUGACGCAGCUAACGCAUUAAGUUCCCCGCCUGGGGAGUACGGCCGCAAGGCUAAAACUCAAAGGAAUUGACGGGGACCCGCACAAGCGGCGGAGCAUGCGGAUUAAUUCGAUGCAACGCGAAGAACCUUACCAAGGCUUGACAUAUACGAGAACGGGCCAGAAAUGGUCAACUCUUUGGACACUCGUAAACAGGUGGUGCAUGGUUGUCGUCAGCUCGUGUCGUGAGAUGUUGGGUUAAGUCCCGCAACGA
rnacentral:rRNA from 1 species